CUUGCAGCUGCGCGCACAUUGUGGUGACAGAAAAUCUCUGAUAACAAAUAGAGGGAAAUGGGUAAAAUCUAUGGAAUAAGAGAAAAAAAAUGUAUUGUUGCGCCUUUGGAUGUCAGAAUCGCAAAUAAUUUUUAUGUUGUCUAAGACGCCAUUUGAAGCUAAACUCAGACGUUUAAACGACAGAAAUUAUGGAUGAAAUCUGCUAUGAUUACCCUAUAUUAAAGCAUAAAUUAGAUUUGAAAAAUAGGUCUAUAUAAUAUUCACAUAGGUGACAUAUUGUAUUAGCCCUACAAUUAAAGCAUGAAAUACUAUUUAAACCUAUAACAUUUUACAUAACAUUAACCUAUUUUAUCUCACAAUUCUCCCUUUUUUUUCCUGCAAAUGCAAGUUUAUCUCCUACUUAGAACUUUAUAACUUAAUUCAACUCAACAAUUGCGAGUUUGUCAAUUCUGAGGAAAAAAAUCCAGAAGUGUGUCAUUAUAAACUCAAAAUUACUUUUAUUCUUUUAUUCCAUAGCUUGCAUAGACUGCUAUGUUAAAACUGGCAUUUUCAGCCACCAGAUAGGCUCCACCAACAAAAAAAAACUCAUUACUGUUUGCAAACACUGAAAUUGAUCUAUAGACAAAGUGAAUCCUAAGGAAAGUUUUCGGGAAGGUCCCUUUUACACAACAGUUACUAAGAAUUUACUCAUAUUCAUGAAAGUUUGAUGAAUGAGGCCCAUAUUACCAUUCACCUAAAAAACCUUAAUAAAAUUCUCCAUCUAUAACCUGAAGGGCAAAGAUGGCAAUGUGAAGGUCAUGCGUGAGCUCGCAGCACACACAGGUUACCUGUCCUGCUGCCGCUUCCUGAAUGACAAUGAGAUCAUUACCAGCUCUGGAGACUGUACCUGGUACAUUCACUUUAGACUGUCCUAAUAGCUAUAAACUAAAAUAGCAAAAUUAUGUAUUCAUUUCAUUUCCUUUAAAGGGGUCAUAUGAUGUGAUUUCAAGUUUUCCAGUGUUACAAGCUGUUCGUGAAUAGAUAAGAUCCCUAAAGUUGUAAAGACUAAAGUCUCAAACCCAAAGAGAUAUUCUUUAUAAAAGUUAAGACUCGUCCACGCCCUCCUAAAACGC
ensembl:lncRNA